rnacentral:rRNA from 1 species
CCUGGCUUAGGACGAACGCUGGCGGCGUGCCUAAUACAUGCAAGUCGAACGGUCUUUUCUAUGGAAGCUUGCUUCCACUGAGAAGAUAGUGGCGAACGGGUGAGUAACACGUGGGUAACCUGCCCAUAAGAGGGGGAUAACAUCCGGAAACGGGUGCUAAUACCGCAUUAGUUUUCUUGAUCGCAUGAUUGAGAAAGGAAAGACGGCCUUUGUGCUGUCGCUUAUGGAUGGACCCGCGGCGUAUUAGUUAGUUGGUGAGGUAACGGCUCACCAAGACGAUGAUACGUAGCCGACCUGAGAGGGUGAUCGGCCACAUUGGGACUGAGACACGGCCCAAACUCCUACGGGAGGCAGCAGUAGGGAAUCUUCCGCAAUGGACGAAAGUCUGACGGAGCAACGCCGCGUGAGUGAAGAAAAGGUUUUCGGAUCGUAAAACUCUGUUGUCAGAGAAGAACAAGUUGGAGAGUAACUGCUCCAGCCUUGACGGUAUCUGACCAGAAAGCCACGGCUAACUACGUGCCAGCAGCGGC